rnacentral:lncRNA from 1 species
GUGAUUGUCUAUCAUAACUUGGAUGGUAAUAAAAUAAAGUAAAAAAAUUUAAAAAGAAAAAUAAUAGAUACUACAAUCAGAUGAUUGACAAGUAUGUAAGGAAGUUUCCACUUGUAUAACAUCAUGCUAGCUAUUAUGACAAAUGCAGGGAUAAAACAGACUCUUAUAGCCUGCUAGAGGAGAUACCAUUUACAUUCAUGAAAAAUGACUGUGUUUAACCUAUUGUAGUUGUAAUUACAUAUCUGUGUGGUUACAGCAGUAGAAAAGGAGUUCGAGAUAGGAGUGAAUACUGUGACCUGAGGUUAUCAUUUCAUCUUUACAAUAUGCUUAGCACUAUGUAAGAAAUUGGAAAUACAAGAAGACAGAGUUCUUAUUCUCAAGAAACUCAGAAUCUCCUGAACCAAGAUUGAAGUUGGGAAAAGCAAUCACUGUCAGAAAGCAAACCCUCUUGUGCCUGGUGCUCAGCUGGAAGAUUGUUCUGGACUCUGGGUUUAGUGAAUAA